rnacentral:rRNA from 1 species
GACAGAGGGUGCAAACGUUGUUCGGAAUUACUGGGCGUAAAGCGUGUGUAGGCGGUUUGCUAAGUCGGGUGUGAAAGCCCCGGGCUCAACCCGGGAAGUGCACUCGAAACUGGCAAGCUAGAGUACUGGAGAGGUUGGUGGAAUUCUCGGUGUAGAGGUGAAAUUCGUAGAUAUCGAGAGGAACACCGGUGGCGAAGGCGGCCAACUGGACAGAUACUGACGC